rnacentral:lncRNA from 1 species
CUGGAGCUAUGCAUCCUUUAGUUGUUGAAAAUCGAAAGGAUGAUGAUAAUUUUGGUUCUGACAGGCUCCUGCAGUUGGUAAAGACUACGAACUAGUAAAAUUAGACAGCUCUCCCACUCUUGUCAAGAUGGUUUAAAUACAGCCCUUGCCGCAAUCAAAAGUACAUGCUUUGGGAAUCCCUCUCAGAAGUUGACUGGCUCUUCUACAUUUGUGAGAACAUGCAACAGGAGACAAAUACACGACGCUAAAGAAUUGUAUGAACCUCUGAAUCAUCACUCUCUAAAUUUCUCUUUUAACCCUUUUUUAGCUACUCCAAAACACGUAAACCUACAGGGGCCAAGGGAACGUGAAAGUUUGCCGAACCUUGCAUAAUCUUAAUGAAUGUGUUGACUUUUAGGAAGCAUGGAAAGGUGAAGCUAGGCAACGUCGUGGCUGGAGGAAAUGAUUCAGUAUGCAAGGUGUUAUGGGUGAUUAAUCUCUACCUUUUCGACAAUUGGAUAUGUUUUAAGAGGUGGGUAAUCUUGUUAGAUUGUACGAUUAAAAAUGAGAAAAAUAACAAUCUCAAAUUUCUCAUCCUUAGAACUUUAAACUAAUGUAAUUAGUUUCCUAACACGAAC